GCAGCUCCCGGCCCAGCCCAGGGCCCCCACAGCAGAGGGGGAGCAGGAGCUCUCCCGGGCCUGACAGCCCCAGCCGUGCAGAAAGCCGGCCUAGGGAGGGUGUGCAAAGAAGGGCGCGAGAGGAAAAGGUCGACACAAACCCCAGACCCCAGGAAGUGACUGUGUUUGGGGGAAGGGAGGGCUUCCUUCCCAAGGAAAAGGGGACAGAAGAGAAAUGCACUCCGCGUCCGCCACCCCGGCCAGGGAGCCGCCGUAAGUCCCAGCUUCGGCCCCGCUCUCCUGCUCCCUCCCUCAGCGUCCCGCCGUGCCCGGGCCUCUCGGCGCCUGGCAACCCCCGUCUCGGGUACUCACAGAGUCCGGGGCUGCCCGUCGUCUUCCAUCAUGCCCGCUCCGGACACUGCGCUCCAACCAGGAGGAGCAGGAGGAGGAGGAGGAUGAACAAAAUGGCCACCGCCACCAGCCAGGCAGGAAACGGGGCAGAGCGCAGGCGCGGCCCGCCAGGUCACCGCUCAGGCCAGCCGCGACGGCCUGUAAAGGGAAUAACUGAGUGGGGAGAAAAACAGGCCGCUAAGGAAACCCUGUGCCCAGUCCCGACGAAUCACGUCGUCGCUGAGUGCCUGCUGGUCGGCUGAAGCCCAGCCAGUUCAAGAAGAGAUCGAGUGAAAAGGGAACCGCCGUGAAGCUGAAGGUUCUGGGAAUUGUGGUCCUGGAAAUGAGAGAGGGAAGCACUUCUCCAGAGGACUUCUGGGAACUGUAGUCCACAGGAGACGGCCGGCGCCCGCGACGCGCCGGGUCGCGAAGAAGAGACUUCUGGGUAGUGUAGUCAUACGUGAGGACGUGCGGCCACCAGGAAGUCGGCGUGCUGGAAGGAGAAGCAGAGAAUAAAAGCGACGUUGAAAGGCGGGGAGACCGGACGGAAAAAACGCUGACCGGGAAAUAAACUACAAGUCCCAGAGUGCCUCGCGCUGGGGGCUGUCCUAGGACUGCUCGGAGCAUGUUAAGGCUCUUCAGUUGGCUCAGCUUGUGCUACCGCUCCGCCUCCGUCCAGCCUGAGAGCGGUUUCUUUAAUUGCGUCUGAAUCCCUGCUUUGGCUCCGCGUGGUGUCGGAGUCAGCGGGCGUUUCGAGCCGUCCCCUAUUCAUCCAAACAGCCGACCCGUGGUCAUCAACCGCCGACCCGCGCGACGGGCUGGAGGGGCUGUGGUGGACGUCGGGUCCGGGCUGAGCUGGGAGCUGCGCUCGCUGGGUCCCGGCGGGCUUCCUAAGGUCCGGCCUUGUCUCUUGGGCGUGUUUUCCCGCAAAUAGGUGUUGCUGGCCUAGGUUGGCCGUUUGUAGAUUGCUUUGUAAGUUUCAAAGGUUCCCCCGUCCGUUAUCUCGUCGGAUAAGAUGGUAAGUAGAGCAGUCCUCCAUUAAAAUGACUCAUCGAGUCAGUGUAAGGUGCAGUGAUAAUGCCCUCCAACCCCUUAUUUAAUUCUUGGAGUGGAAAAAAUCUUUGGGCCGAGACGUGCAGACUUAAGCUUGUGUUUGCAGAUAUCCAUCCUGUAGACGGGAAAUGAAGUCUUGCUUGAGAAUGGAGGGAGCCGUUUUCAAACUGCUUCUGUAACCCUGUAGAAUUCCCCCCCCCCCCCCCACACACACGACAGUUCAUGGUGCGCUUACGUCCCCUCCCCCCAGCAUCUUGAGUUUGUACCCCCUCCUGGUGAAGGGUGGUGAUAAAGAUCUUUCAGCCUGUUGCCCGACCUUAAAGGUCCCAGUUAAACAGUGCCUUAAGAGUUGGCUCUGCCAACAUGUCCUGAGGGGGAGGGGGAUUUGAACCUGGAAAGCUUCAUAGACUCCAUGGCAAGGAAGUUGAACCCCGUAAGAGUCCGUGGGAGUAGCAAAAGGGCGCAGAGACCAGGAUCCAGGGUUAAAGUAUAUAGUUAUUUGGGGAGGGAGGAGAGGGGAAGGCAUGGCGAAGGGGUCUUGAGAGUUGAGAGAGGUGGGCUUAAAGAAUUGUAUUGUGAAGGACUUGAGGAGUUGAGCUUUGUCUUUGAAGCAGUGAGGAGUUUCUCAAGGGUGUUUGCUUUUAUUGGACUUAGGUAUAGAACUGGGUUUGUCAUAAUCCAAUCAGUCAUUGAUCCAUGCCUAGCCCACUGUAUUAGUUUCCUAUUACUGCUGUAACAAGCUUAGUGCCUUAAAAUAGUAGGAAUUUAUUAUCUUACAAUUCUGGAGGUCAGAAGUCAAAAAUCAGUUUCACUAGGCCAACAUCAAGGUAUUGGCAGGCUGGUUCUUGCUGAAGUCCAGGGGAGGAAUGGGUUCCUUGCCUUUUCCAGCUUCUAGAGGCUGCCAGCAUUCCUUGACUUUUGGCCUUACCCACCAUCUUCAGAAACCGCAUAGCCACUUCUUUCCUCUCUGACCUCUGCUUCUAUCCUGACCCCCCUUUCUGACUGGUCUUCCUGCCUCCCUCUCACCUACAAGGACCCUUUGUGUUUACACUGGGCCAAGGAUAAUCUCCCCAACUCAACACCUUUAAUCACAUCAGCAAAGUCCCUUCCCCCCCGUAACACAUUUACCGAUUCUGGGGAUUAGGACAUGGACAUCUUUGCUAGGCCAUUAUUCAGCCAACCACGCACAACCCACCUUUAUUAAUUUAGUUGCUUUCAAUGUAAUAAUAGCUGUGAACUCUCUACCCUAAAAAAAAGUUAUAAUGACAAUUUACAACCAAAUGUAUGGUUUGCCUCCCCCAGCCCCAUACUAAGUGAUCCUCUUGCCUCCCCUCACAUGGGGUGAAUAUAAUCACAAAUCUUCACCAAUUCUUGUUCUCCUUUUUAUGAAUUUUUAUUCCAUAUACGUAUUUAUACAGAAUACAACUACAUAUAUAUAUAUAUAUGAAGUGUGUAUGCAACGUAUUUUUAAUUGUUUUUAAUAUAGUAAAAAAGAGUAUGCUCCCCCUAAAAGAAAGAGAAUAUGCCCAGUACACACCUGUUAGAAUGGCUAAACUCCAGAACACUGACACCCCAAAUGCGGGCAAGGAUGUAAGGCUACAGGCACUCUCAUUCAUUGCUGGUGGGGGUGCAAAAUGGUACAACCACCUUGGAAUACAUUUUGGUAGUUUUUUACAAAGCUAAACCUAGCUCCUAGGUAUUUACCCAAAUAAGUUGAAAACUUAAGUCCACACAAAAACCUGCACACGAAUAUUUACAGCAGUUUUAUUCAUAAUGCAAAAAAUUGGAAGAACUAAGAUGUCUUCCAAUAAGUGAAUAGAUAAACUGUGAUAUAUUCAGAUAAUGGAAUAUUAUUCAGUGAAAAAAAAAAAAAAGCUAUCAAGCCAAAAAAGCCCAUGGAAGAAUCUUAAAUGCAUAUUCCUAAGUGAAAGAAACCAGUCUGAAAGGGCCACAUACUGUGUGAUUCCAACUAUGUGCCAUUCUGGAAAAUGUGUAACGGUGGAGACUAAAAAGAUGUAUGGUUGCCAGGGGCAAUGGAGGGAAGAGGAACGGGUAGAGCACAGAGCAUUUUUACUGUGGUGUAACUAUUCUGUAUGAUACUGUUUUGUGGAUCCCAAAGAACUGUACAGCUCAAAGAGUGAAUCCUAAUGUAAACUGUGGGGACUUUAGUAAAUAAUAAUGUAUCAAUAUUGGUUCAUCAGUUGCAACAAACAUACCACAUAAAUGCAAGACAGUAAUAUUACGGAAACUGUAUGCUGUGGUGGGGGAGAGGGUGUACUGGAACUUUGUACUUUAGGCACAGUUUUUCUGUAAACCUAAAACUGCUCUAAAAAAAUAAAGUCUGGGGGCGCCUGGGUGGCUCAGUCGAUUAAGCGUCUGCCUUAGGCUCAGGUCCUGAUCCCAGGGUCCUGGGAUUGAGCCCAGCAUCGGGCUCCCUGCUCAGCAGGGAGUCUGCUUCUCCCUCUCCCUCUGCCUCUCCCCCCCCUUGUGCUCUCUCUGUCUCUCAAAUAAAUCAAAUCUUGAAAAAAAAUAAAGUCUGUUACAAAGGAAAAAA